rnacentral:rRNA from 1 species
GUGCCAGCAGCCGCGGUAAUACGUAGGGGGCAAGCGUUGUCCGGAUUUAUUGGGCGUAAAGCGCGUGUAGGCGGCUUGGCAAGUCCGCUGUGAAAACUCGAGGCUCAACCUCGAGACGUCGGUGGAAACUGCCUGGCUAGAGUCCGGAAGAGGAGAGUGGAAUUCCUGGUGUAGCGGUGAAAUGCGCAGAUAUCAGGAAGAACACCUAUGGCGAAGGCAGCUCUCUGGGACGGUACUGACGCUGAGACGCGAAAGCGUGGGGAGCGAACAGGAUUAGAUACCCUGGUAGUCC